GCUGAGAUUGUGCCAGAGGCCGGGGGAAGACUAAGGUGGGUAGCGUUGCGCGGUAUUACGUGGCGUAAAGCGCACGUAGGCGGAUUGUUAAGUCUGGGGUGAAAUCCUGGAGCUCAACUCCAGAACUGCCUUCGAUACUGGCGAUCUCGAGUUCGGGAGAGGUGAGUGGAACUGCGAGUGUAGAGGUGAAAUUCGUAGAUAUUCGCAAGAACACCAGUGGCGAAGGCGGCUCACUGGCCCGAUACUGACGCUGAGGUGCGAAAGCGUGGGGAGCAAACAGGAUUAGAUACCCGGGUAGUC
rnacentral:rRNA from 1 species